rnacentral:tRNA from 1 species
UAAAGCAUAAUAUUGAAGAUAUUAAAAUAACAUUUUUUAUGUUUUUAAAUA